CCACUCUGAAAACAAGGUAAUUCCAGACAGGAAACAAUCAGGGCCAGCUAACACCUCCCAACAAACAAAUCACUCAGGGAAGAAACAGCUAGGCUUUAAAUCUGCAAGGCCAUUACAUCCUAAUCAUUUUUCCUAAUUGCAGCAUUCAUACUUGCCUCCAACAGACAAAAAAAAAACAAACAAUCAGAAAUAUUGCAUAUUCACAACCUUUAGGAAAUAAUGUCCCCUGAUGGCACAGCAUGUUAAAGCGCUGAGCUGCUGAACUUCUGGACCGAAAGGCCGCAGGUUUGAAUUGGGGGAACUGACAGAGCCCCCACUGUUAGCCCCAGCUUCUGCCAACCCAGAAGUUCAAAAACAUGUAAAUGUGAGUGCAUCAAUAGGUACUGCUCCGGUGGGAAGGUAACGCCACUCCAUGCAGUCAUCCCACAUGACCUUGGAGGAGUCUACGGACAACGCUGGCUCUUCGGCUUAGAAAUGGAGAUGAGCACCAACCCCCAGAAUCAUACAUGACUGGGCUUAAUGUCAGAGGAAAACGUUUACCCUUUACCUUAACUACCACCAAUUCCUCAAUAAAUCUAUAUUAUACUAGCUGUGCCCGGCCACGCGUUGCUGUGGCGAAGUAUGGUGGUAUGGGAAAUAAAGUAUUGAGGAAUUGGUGGUAGUUAAGGUAAAGGGUAAAGGUUUUCCCCUGACAUUAAGUCCAGUCGUGUCUGAGUCUGGGGGUCUCCAUUUCUAAGCUGAAGAGCUGGCAUUGUCUGUAGACUCCUCCAAGGUCAUGUGGCCAGCAUGACUGCAUGGAGUGCCAUUACCUUCCCACCAGAGCAGUACCUAUUAAUGUACUCUCAUUUGCAUGUUUUUGAACUUUAGGGUUGGCAGAAGCUGCCUAAGUGAGUCCUAACUCUGCCUGUCCCCUGGGCUGAGUGGGUUGCUAGGAGACCAAGUGGGUGGAGCUUAGCCUUCUAACUGGCAGCAAUUGGAUAAAAACAAUUAUUUCUCUCCCUCUAAUUAGGACUUUAGUUUUCUUUUCUUUUGGUUAUAUCAACCUGGAGGCGUGGAUGAUGGGUUGUGUUGUCAAAUUUCGAGGUUGGGGGGCCUUUAGUUUUGUUGUUUUGUCGGUUGCCGGGAUUCCAUCACUCUUUUAUAUAUAUAGAUACAGUAAAUAGCCAUCAGCAAUGUUACAUUCUGCUUCUGUUACACAAUGCUACACUGGAUAGUAACAUGGUAAUACAAUGCACAUGGUUGUCACCAUGUAUAGGGCAAUGUGUAAUUAUACAUUGUUCUCUGAAUGUCAGUAGGCAACUGUAAGCUCCAUGGUUCUGCAGGUAGAUUCCCAUUUCCACUGUCAUAAGAUAAAUAUUGGCUACUGAACAUUGUUCACAGAAGCCAUUCCAAUGACCAUUAUAUACUAUGGAUAUAAUGACUACAGCCAGUAGUAGCUGUGUAGUCAACCCCCUACAUAGGUUGACCCACAGGGUCAAACCUACAAAUGUAGAGGAUCAACUGUAUUGAAUUGGGGGCCUUUUUUUCAAUUACAACUUAAACUAGUUUUGUUUUGUUUUUUAACUCUUACUUCCUUGGAAGCUCCCGCCCCCCUUCAAGUUCUAUGUGAGAUCAUCUUCUGUGCAACACUAAUCUCAUUAAGUCCAAGGC
ensembl:lncRNA